UACGUAGGGUGCGAGCGUUAAUCGGAAUUACUGGGCGUAAAGGGCUCGUAGGCGGCCAACUAAGUCAUACGUGAAAUCCCUCAGCUUAACUCGAGAACUGCCAUUGAUACUAUCUGUCUUGAAUAUUGUGGAGGUAAGCGGAAUAUGUCAUGUAGCGGUGAAAUGCUUAGAUAUGACAUAGAACACCUAUUGCGAAGGCAGCUUACUACGCAUAUAUUGACGCUGAGGCACGAAAGCGUGGGGAUCAAACAGG
rnacentral:rRNA from 1 species